GACAGAGGUGCCAAGCGUUAGGCGGAAUCACUGGGCUUAAAGCGUGUGUAGGCGGAAUUGUAAGUACCUUGUGAAAUCCCACGGCUCAACCGUGGAACUGCUCGGUAUACUGCUUUCUUGAGCCACUUAGGGCUGUCGGAACAAACGGUGGAGCGGUGAAUGCGUAGAUAUCGUAAGGAAGACCAGUGGCGAAGGCGGUCUCUGGACAGUUCCUGACGCUGAGGCACGAAGGUCAGGGAGCAAACGGG
rnacentral:rRNA from 1 species